UUUCAACUUCUAGGUUUUUCUCUCUUGUUCACUCUUGGCUAUGAAGUAACCCUAUCUUCCCACAAGGGUUCUUGGAAUUGGCCUUCCGCCCAAGAUAAAGGGAUUAAGCUAUUUAAGAGAUACAAAUUAAGAGGCUAAACUAACAAGGAAAUCAAGGCACAGGUACUUUAGCUCAUACACCCCACUCAUAGGAGCGUAGGCUAUUCCAUGCAUAUUGGUGAGGUCCAAGUUGAUUCGAGGAUUUCCGAGUCUAUUUUGAUAUGUUUUGGUAUUAUGCAGUAGGUUAAGAGUAGGGCGGGGAGAGGGGGUUUGUCCCGACCCUAACUAAGUCAAUGUAAAGUUACGGUAGUGUAUUGUUUUUAGACAUGGUGGCCCCAAC